GACGAACGCUGGCGGCGUGCUUAACACAUGCAAGUCGAACGGAAAGGCCCGGCUCUUGUGGGGCGCUCGAUUGGCGAACGGGUGAGUAACACGUGAGUAUCCCGCCCUUGACUUUGGGAGAUCAUCAGGAAACUGGGGCUAAUAUCGGAGAGGAUCUCUUGCUGCAUGGGGGGGGAUGGAAAGAUUCGGCGGUGGUGGCUGGUCUCGCUGCUUAUCAGCUUGUUGGUGGGGUAGUGGCUUACCAGGGUUUUGACGGGUAGCCUGCGUGAGAGGGUGGCCGGCCACAUUGGGCCUGCGAUACGGCGCAGACGCCUACGUGCGGCAACGGUGGGGAGUCUUGCACAGUGAGCGCGCGCGUGAUGCGGCGGCCCCGCGUGCGGGAUGCUCGCCUACGGGUUAUGAACCACUUUGGCAUGUGCCGAGCCCUGUGUGACGGUACUGAGUCAGAAAGCACCGGCUAACUACGUG
rnacentral:rRNA from 1 species